GUGGCUAAUAACUUGUGGCAAAGAAAAUAUGUUUUUGUUACUAUAGCAAUUGUAGUUUAAUUCCAUAAUGUCAUUGUACGUAUAUAAUAAACAUGGCUAGAAACUUUAUAAACUUCAUAACCGCUCUAGUUGUCUAAUAUAACCUUAUGAUAUUUUUUUAAAGCAAAAGUGAAAAAUGACUUUUUUAUGAUAGUUAUCAGCAGCCAUUUUAAUAAUAUGAGAUAGUGUCACACCU
rnacentral:lncRNA from 1 species